rnacentral:rRNA from 1 species
UACAGAGGUCUCAAGCGUUGUUCGGAUUCAUUGGGCGUAAAGGGUGCGUAGGCGGCGCGCUAAGUCGGGUGUGAAAUUUCGGAGCUUAACUCCGAAACUGCAUUCGAUACUGGCGUGCUUGAGGACUGGAGAGGAGACUGGAAUUCAUGGUGUAGCAGUGAAAUGCGUAAAGAUCAUGAGGAAGACCAGUGGCGAAGGCGGGUCUCUGGACAGUUCCUGACACUGAGACACGAAGGCCAGGGGAGCAAACGGG